UAUGACUCUGGCAACAUGUGAACUCAUAUGGCUGAAACAUCUUCUUCGGGAGUUGAGAUUUGGAAAGGAUGAACAGAUGAAGCUCAUCUGUGACAACCAAGCCGCUUUGCAUAUUGCAUCCAAUCCAGUCUUCCAUGAAAGGACCAAACACAUUGAAGUUGACUGUCGCUUCAUUAGAAAGAAGAUUGCAUCAGGAUGUGUGGCGACUAGUUUUGUUAAUUCAAAUGAUCAACUAGCAAAUAUUUUUACUAAAUAUCUCAGAGGUCCUAGAAUUAAAUACAUUUGUAACAAGCUUGGUGCAUAUAACAUAUAUGCUCCAGCUUGAGGGGGAGUGUUAGAUAAUGUAUAGUUAUUUUAGGUUAUUUACUUUUCCUUUUCCUUUUCUUUCCUUACUAUAUUGUGGGUCCCACUAGCAUGUAUAUAUAUACCCAAGUCCAAUGUGUAUUCUUUACAGUUUUUCAAUAACAAUAAUUAGGGAUUCUCCCUUUUCUCUCUCUCUCUUCACUAAGAUGAUUGUGGACUUCUAUAAGGAGUUGAGGAGUGUGGCUUUGGAAAAGUUUUUGGUGGGAAGGUCACACUUGUAGUUUAUGGGUGAUGCCAAAUUUUUUUCAAAGGCUAGGGUAGUAGAUUUGUUAAGUCAAGUUUAUUUUUACUGGUAUGUGGAUAUAUAUCAAGUCUUGAAAUAAAUUGACAUAAGCGCUCAUUACUGUUAACUAAUGUUAGUUAGGAUCAAAUUAUAGUUUUGGUAACCUUGCUAAAUUGUAAAUUGGCUUUUGACAUAUUUGGGUCCUCUGAGGGGAAACCCUAAAGUUGCUUCGCUUUAGGAUCAUAUACUAGACAAAAUUUCUCGAAGAUUAGAUGGUAGGAAGAAAGUAUUCCUGCCUUAGGCCAUAGAAUAAUCCUUGUUUAGCCUUGCUUGUCUCACAUUCUCAUUUACUUUCUAUUAGUGUUCAGGAUUUUGACCAAGUUGGCGUUUAAAAUCAAGAAAUUAGAGAGGGAUUUUUUAUGGUUUGGAACAUGGGAAGGAAAGAGAGAUUACCUAAUUAGUUGGGAUUCAUAGUGGGAGCUUGAGGAUGAAGUUGGGUUAGGUUUGAGAGGACUUUUAUAUGUAGAGAACCUUUUUCGGGAAGUUAUUGUGAAGUUUUCCAACAAAAGGAGUGGUUUAAGCAUAAGAUCAUCAUCAUGAAUAUCUAUAAGUCAUAUUCCAAUGGUUGGGAUGCUAACAAUGCAGUCGGGUGGUUGCAUCUUUGCCCUUGGAAGACUAUUCUACGACCUUUCUUGAAUUUUUCCCAUCUUACUUGUUUUCUUCUUUUGUAAGAGAUAGUACUAAGAUUCAUUUUUAGGAAGGUUUGUGGUGGGACAAUCAACUACCGUGUUCAAUUUUAAAUCUCUUCAAAGUAGCAAGAGUUAGAAGCUCCUUUAUUUCACCACAAUAGUUUUCUCUGGUCUUCUACAUCUUGAAACAUUAAUUUUUGUAGCAACCUUACUAUAAAAUUUGAGGAACAUAAGCUUCUUAUGUCCUCUUGAAUUUAUAUAUUCUUGUUGCCUUCCUUUCUAGGUGUGCCAGAUAGUUGACUUUCUUGAGCUUGUAUAGUGUAAACUAACUCCCUCUCUCCCCCUCUCACCCUUUUUCUCUCCUUCUCCUUAAGCUGUUAUUAUUUGGGUGCAUAAUGAAUAUCAUGCAUUAACACCCCUCCUCAUGUUUGAUCCUGCCCUAUAUGUGCUGUGGGAGGUUAUCUACAAUGCAUAUCAUGCUUCAACACCCAUGUCAUGUUUAGCCCUAUCCCAUACAUGCUGUGAGAGGUUUACCAUACCCUCUGUGGGAGGCAAACUGCAAUAGCAACAACCAAAUCACACAUGAUUAGAUAGAUAUAUAGAUGGGGAGAGAAUUUGAACCUAAGACCUUUAGUUAACUAGAGCUCUGAUACACUGUCGACUAAUCAAUUUUCUUAGAAAUUGAAGUUGUUAGGAUUUGAGCCCAUAAUGCAUAUCAUGCUUCAAUAUAUCUAACUUGUGAUCGAAAGCCCAAUUUAAGGUAAGGCCUUUGCAUGGGUGGUGGCCAAUGCAAAUGUUAAGACCAAUGACUUGCUACAUGUGAGGGAGGUCUUACAAAGAUAUCAAUCCGAAUUGUUGCAUUAUUGUCAUUGAUUAUGAAUCAAUGGAGCAUCUUUUUAUACACUAUCUAGUAACUCUGAGGCUUUGGCAUAAGUUGUUUGACUUGUGAGGAUAGAUUAAGUUCCCUAUAGUUACAUGAUUGAUACUAUUUCUUUUAGGAGAUUGAGUAGUCUUAGAAGUGGGGUACUUUGGUGUGUGGCUUAUCUUACUUUAAUAUGGAUAAUUUAAUAUAAAAAGAACACAAGGCUUUUCCAAGACAAAUUUAAGGAAAAUGGAGAUUUGGGAGUCCAUUUGAGAUUAUUCUUAUUUCUCUCCGUGUUAGAAAAUUUUUAUUUAGUGUUUAAUAUCAAACUUAAAAUAACAUUUAGGAUAUGAAGACAAAAACAUACCUUGAACCAUAAUGCUUAACUCAAUGGUUUGAAAAUCUUUAAGGAAUACCCUUGAUAUUUACUCUCCUAUUCCCUAAAAGAAUCUGAUGCCAAGACUCCUUUUUCCAGUAAAUCUGCUGCCCUGUUAGCAUACCUAGGCUGUCAAAGGACACAGCACUCUGAACUACUUGAGAGAUCAAGGAUUCUGCAAACUGGAUCAUCCAGUUUCAGAGCUCCCUCUUCCCCUUGAAUACCUGAGAGAACAAUAGCUGAAUCCGCUUCCACCAGCAUAUUUGUCGAGUCCAAAGUGAUGCCUCAGUCGAGCUGUCCAACAAAGCUAGAACUUGAGCCUUAGUGGCCAGUCCAAAACCAGCUAGUUUGGAGAAUAUGCUUUAACCAAGUUGCAUCAGAAUCUCUGAUGACAACACCAAUCCUCAUAGGACCCAUGUUGCCAUGGAGCAAUCAUCAGAGGUGGGAUCUGCUCAACCCUCUAAAGUCUCAUACAACCUGUGCAUACAUCUCCAAUUUAGUAGAAGUGGUACUAAACAGAAUGCCUGAGAAAUCUUUAGUAACUGAAUCCCACAUGAAGGCCUAGAACAACUGCUCCAUAAAUCUCCAUUUAUCCUUUAAAAAAAUCCUAAAAUUUCUCUCUAGGCAAAUAACCUUGAGGAUGAUAAUCAAAGCUCCCUGUCAAAGCACCUUCUCAGUUACAGUUGUUCUGAGAACCCAUAAAGGCAACAGCUUCAUGUCUGCCACCUCAGGGGACAAAAAACAUUGGCUGGCUGAAAUGCUAAAGAAACUUUCACAUAAGAGCUCUAUUCCUAACAGGGGCUCUACAAGGCCUACCCUAACUUCACUCUUUUACUUACAAACUUUGAUUCCAAUCUAUUGUGGGAUGUCUCAUACCUCCCUGAUACCAUCUAGAGAAAAUCAUGGUGGAUUUUCUUAAAUCCUAGCCAGAACGAACAAAGUUUGUUUUAGAGGUGGGAAGGUGGUAUGUGGAAAUUUCGCGAGAUGGGACUGGACUAGAGUAAUUCUACACCCCAAGGAUAAGACAGGCAUCUUCCAGCCAUCUAGUCUCUCAAAGAUUCUUUCUAGAACUGGAUGCCAAAGGAGGUCAACCUAGGAUUCUCCGUAAAGGGAGACAGAGUAGAGACAAUAAUCUGUAUCUUGUCCUACAUCCCAGACAAGAAAUGAGCCUAGCCAGAUGCUCCUUCAUAAGACAAUAGCCAGUUGCUACUCACUCAAAAUGCUUCUGGAUAGUGUUAAUAACACUUUUUUUUUUUUCUUUUUUUGUGUAUAAAUUUAGUUUAAGCUCUUCACCUGUCUAAAGAUUUUUAGAAUGAGUUUGAUGUUAAAUUAAUCCUCUGCAACAGCCCCAAAGAAGAAUAUGUUAUGAUCAACCAAAUUGAAGAUGGGGUACUCUAAUGCAGGUCUUCCUGGCGUCCAAACCAUUAAUGAGUCAGUGGCCUUUGGCCUUAAUCUUCAAUUGUAAGUGAGGAAGGUAGUGUCUUGGGAAAACUAUGAUAAUGUACUGUCAAAUUCUAAUGUAAAAUUGGGUUCAGAAUAUUUAAGCUUCUUUCACCUUUGAAUGCUGUCAAAACAAGCAUGCUAACAUAAAAUCUGAGUGCAUUAUGUGCGCUGUAAGAUUGAGUCAACUGAACUCUAGGGAGCUAUGUAAGGGAUAAUCAUAUGCUAAAUAGGAUUUUUUUUGUCAGAAAAUGCUAUUUACUGUGGGACAUACCUGAUUACGUUAUUAUUGAAAUUUAGAAUUAAUGAGUUCAUAUAGAACAAAUGAAAAAUGGUAGUUUGAAUAACAGUGCUAUGAAACAAUAAUAUCAUCCCAAACUUAUCAAAAAAUAAAAACAAAAAUGUUUAUGCCAUCCCUAAUUUGUCUUAUUCUCAAUCCUUUAAUCUCCUGGACUGGGGCUAUAUAAACUGGGAUAUGAAUAUGCAUAGGUUUAAAAGGUUCAGUAAGAGUAAGAAUAUUUAGGAAGAUCUUGCUUUCAGUAGUGUUAGAUUGAUUACUUAUUAGUUGAUAUUUGAUAUACUCUUCCAAGGUUUUUCAUUGCUCAUGAUCUGGUUAGUCGUGUUGUUUGUUCAUAGUCCAGAGGAAAUGGGUGCUUCAGGAUCCUAUGUAGGAUACGCACUUUAAAUGAGACACUGCAUUAAGAUGAGGGUGACAAGAAGUUUUUGUGUUCUUAUAUAUUAACUAGGAUCCUGUUAAUAAAAUUAUGUUCACUUUGAAUUGCAGAUAUUGGGAAAAGGAGAAGGUUUGGCUAGAUUGCAGGCCAGUCACAUGAACCCAUUAGUCGAUGAGGAGAAAACUAUGGCAUUAAGCAUGCACCUCAAGCUAAGAAUGUCCUUAAGCACUGUGCUUUUCCCUGCUCCCAUCCCACCUCCCAUAAAGAGUAGCACUGGACUUCUAUUGCUGUGAGCGACUGGAACCAUCACAUCCGUACAUUCUGAAUCAUCAUUUGCUGCAAGCCUGAUCACUUUCAUCUCCUCCACCAAGUGGAAUGCAAAGUAGCUGAUGAUGCAUCUCUCGAACUCCUCCACCAGCUUUAUAAACAAAGAGUCUCCAUCCAAUUCGGUGUCAAAGAAUGUAUAGAUAUUCUCCUCACAUCCUUCUGAUUUCCGGGCAUAAUCGGAGGCCAACUUGCAGAGCUGAGGACAUUCUCUUCUGUCUGCAAAUCCUAUUUGCCUUGCUGCAUGCACGAGGGACAGGGAAAUUAAAAAGCUUGAAAGGAGGAUCCAAAUAGGAAUGCAUCAUGGGAGGAAGAGGAAGAGGAAGAUCGAAGAAGAAGAAGAAGAAGGUGGAUCAGAUGGUUAUAUACCUACAUAAUGGGAGAACCUCUCUAGCUUGACCUGCCCAGUAUCUGUUAUCUUCAUAUGUGGAACAAUCUUCAGACACCUCCUAAAACGAAAGUGCAUCAAUGCAGCAAUGAUGAAGCCGAUGACAGAGGCUAUGAGGAUCUGUGUGAAAGUAGAGUUGCCCUUGUCAUCUGAAAGGGAAGAAGAAGAAGUUGAUUAUCACAAUCACAUUUACCCCUUGUUUCCAUGCAUGACAUGACAAUACCUAUAUUUAUUUUUACGAUUAGAGAGACAAGAAUGGAUUGUGUUGUUUGAGACUCACCGUUCUGCAUGUCUGAGAAAUUGAAGGAGAGGUAAAAGAGAGAAUUGUGUUUUAGAGUGUUCUGUUGAGAAAAUGAGAAACAGAUUCAUCGGUUUUAUUUGUUUCGGGACACGUAUUCCAGUGAGCGAUGGAAUAGUGGUUUUACCAUCAAUUCUCAAGAUUUUUGAACGA